GAUGAACGCUAGCGAUAGGCCUAACACAUGCAAGUCGAGGGGCAUCACAUGAAGUAGCAAUACGGAUGGUGGCGACCGGCGCACGGGUGAGUAACACGUAUGCAACCUGCCUUCAACAAGGGGAUAACCCGUUGAAAGACGGACUAAUACCCUAUAACACAGGGGUCCCGCAUGGGAAUAUUUGUUAAAGGACAACCGGUUGAAGAUGGGCAUGCGUUCCAUUAGCUAGUUGGCGGGGUAACGGCCCACCAAGGCAACGAUGGAUAGGGGAACUGAGAGGUUUAUCCCCCACACUGGUACUGAGACACGGACCAGACUCCUACGGGAGGCAGCAGUGAGGAAUAUUGGUCAAUGGACGCAAGUCUGAACCAGCCACGUCGCGUGAAGGAAGACGGCCCUACGGGUUGUAAACUUCUUUUGCAAGGGAAUAAAGUGUAGUACGCGUACUAUUUUGCAUGUACCUUACGAAUAAGGAUCGGCUAACUCCGUGCCAGCAGCCGCGGUAAAUCUGACU
rnacentral:rRNA from 1 species